GUGGACAGAGAACAGGUUUUAGGAGAUAGAAGCAAGCGCACAGCAUGAGUCGACUUGGAGCCAUCUCGAGUCAACUCAGAUCUAGAUGAGUCGACUCAGCUUCACCUAGAGUCGACUCGGAUUGCGAACAGAGCUAUGCAGAAGAUCUGUUCUGGCCUAAGAUUGAAUUUGAUCCUAGGUAACUUAAGGCCUUAGUUGAUGAGGUCUUAAGGGGCUAAUCUAAGGAUUUGGACUAGGAUCAAGUCCAAAGAAUAUGUGUAUGGUGAGA
rnacentral:lncRNA from 1 species